ensembl:snoRNA SNORD115 Small nucleolar RNA SNORD115
AGAUCAAUUUAGACCUCAUACUGUCUUGAAGAGAGGUGAUGACUUAAAAAUCAUGCUCAAAAGGAUUACGCUGAGGCCC